rnacentral:rRNA from 1 species
CGCGUAGGAAUCUAUCCUUGGGUGGGGGACAACCGUUCCAAACUACGGAUAAUACCGCAUGAUCCCUGAGGGGCAAAGGCGAAAGUCGCACUGAGGAGGAGCUCUGCGUCUGAUGAGGAAGUUGGGGGGUAAUGGC